rnacentral:rRNA from 1 species
GAGUUUGAUCCUGGCUCAGAUUGAACGCUGGCGGAAUGCUUUACACAUGCAAGUCGAGCGGCAGCGCGGGGGCAACCCUGGCGGCGAGCGGCGAACGGGUGAGUAAUACAUCGGAACAUGUCCAGUCGUGGGGGAUAGCCCGGCGAAAGCCGGAUUAAUACCGCAUGAGCUCUGGCGAGGAAAGCGGGGGACCGAAAGGCCUCGCGCGAUUGGGUUGGCCGAUGUCCGAUUAGCUAGUUGGUGGGGUAAAGGCCUACCAAGGCGAUGAUCGGUAGCUGGUCUGAGAGGAUGAUCAGCCACACUGGGACUGAGACACGGCCCAGACUCCUACGGGAGGCAGCAGUGGGGAAUUUUGGACAAUGGGGGAAACCCUGAUCCAGCCAUUCCGCGUGAGUGAAGAAGGCCUCGGUUGUAAG